AACGAACGCUGGCGGCAUGCCUAACACAUGCCAGUCGAACGAUUGCCUUCGGGUGAUAGUGGCGCACGGGUGCGUAACGCGUGGGAAUCUGCCCUUAGGUUCGGAAUAACAGCUGGAAACGGCUGCUAAUACCGGAUGAUAUCGCGAGAUCAAAGAUUUAUCGCCUGAGGAUGAGCCCGCGUUGGAUUAGGUAGUUGGUGGGGUAAAGGCCUACCAAGCCGACGAUCCAUAGCUGGUCUGAGAGGAUGAUCAGCCACACUGGGACUGAGACACGGCCCAGACUCCUACGGGAGGCAGCAGUGGGGAAUAUUGGACAAUGGGCGCAAGCCUGAUCAAGCAAUGCCGCGUGAGUGAUGAAGGCCCUAGGGUUGUAAAGCUCUUUUACCCGGGAAGAUAAUGACUGUACCGGGAGAAUAAGCCCCGGCUAACUCCGUG
rnacentral:rRNA from 1 species